AUUGGAAAGAAUUUAAUUUUGGUUCCGAUUGAACGUUUUUCAGUAGUUUUAAGACAUGCAAAUCAUUUUUCUGAAAAUCAUUUAAAUUAAAUAAAGUAGGAGUACUUAAAAAUAAUUUAAAUAUUACUAAGGAAAAGGUGUAAAGGUGAGUAUAAUAAAUAAGAUACCUUAUAGACCCCAUAAAUAGGGGAUUUUUAUAACUCAAAUCAGCUUAUUUAAAUUUAGAUAAAAUAAUUAGAAGUAAAAAGGAGAAAUAAAAAAUAAAAUUGCUAUUUUAUUAAAAAAGGAAAUUUUCCACUAUAUGAUUCUAUUUAUUUUGUUUAGGUAGUUGGAAGGGUAGAAGCCUCCCAAGCCGACGAUCAAAAGCCAAGUUUGACAGAACAGAUGGCCACAUUGGGACUGAAAUCUCCCAAGUAGUGUUAACUACCAGCAGUCAAGAAUAUUAGUCAAUGCUCGCAAGAGUGAACUAGCUAACUGAAAUCACAAUUGUGUCAAUUUGUGAUAAAGUAAGGGAAAAUAAUGAUAUUACCUUACUAUUAGUGUUGUCCAAAACUGGUGCCAGAAGACUCGGUAAGACCAGAGACGCAAACGUUAGUCGUCCUAAUCAGGCGUAAAGGGUUUGUAGGCUGCUUUAACAGUUUUAUAUUUAAAUAGCAAAAAUAAAAUAACUUAAAGCUAGAAUCAAAUAGAUGAUAUGUUAAAUAAUACUUAGAGUAGGGGCGAUAUCCUUAGAUACUAAGUGGAAUACUAAUGGCGAAAGCUUUUUUCUACUAAUGAUUGACGCUGAGAAACGAAGGUGAGGAUAGGAAAUAGGAUUAGAUACCCAGAUACCCCUCACUGUCAACGAUGAAUGGUAGUUACUAGUUUAAAUUUAAAUUGGUGGCGAUGUUAACACGUUAACCAUUCCGCCUUGCGAGUACGACUGCAAAGUUGAAACCAAAAAAAUUAGUCGGUCUCGAAGCAAACGAAGUGAAGCAUGUUAUUUAAUACGAUACCCCGCGUAAAACCUUACCAGUUCUUGCAUACAAACUUCAGUCCUUCUAUAUUUAAAUAUUAAUAUAAUAAUUAUAAAAAUUAUAAAAAUUAAUAAAUAUAUUAUAGUGAGUCUUUUAAUUAAGGAAGGAGUAUUAUAAAAAAUACUUAGAUACAGGUGUUGCAUGGCUGUCGUCAGUCCGUGCCGUGAGAAGUGAGGUUAACUCCACUAACGGACGAAAUCCCUAUUGUUAAUUUAUACUUAACAAUUAAUGAUUCUUAUAGAGUUUCAUUUGGGGCUAAGACAAGUCGUUAUGGCCCUCAUGAACUGGGCUAUAGACGUGCCACAAAAACUUUUACAAAGUGAUGCGAAACCAUUCCAUUGAACUUAUAAAUUUAAGUUAAAAAAUAUUAAGGAAAUAAGGAGGAGCUAAUCAUUAAAGAAAGUUAAAUUAUUAAAUAUUGACGGAUUGUCGUCUGCAAUUCGGCGACAUGAAGAAGGAAUUUCGAGUAAUCGUUGAUCACUAGCGCAACGGUGAAGAAAGCAUUCGUGAUGAACUAACUGUCUGUCGCUGGGAAGAAGCUUAAUUUGGAGGAAACUCCAGCGAAAUUAUAACUUUUACAUUGAUAUCACUUUUUAUUUUGAUUCUAUUAUCUUAAAUAGUUAAUUGAGUAAAUUAAUAUAAUUUAUUAAUUUUUAAAUCGAUAUAAUAAUUUGUGUAGUUUACAGCUAAAUUUAGUAUAUUAUGUGAAUAGCAUUAUAACUAAAUAUAGUCAAUUAUUAAUAAACAUCUUUGUUAAGCUAAUUAGUUUUAGUUAAUCCAUUUAAGUAACAUCUCAAAAGUCAUAGCAAGGUAGCUGUACUGGAAAGUGCUGCUGGAAAAUAAAAAAU
rnacentral:ncRNA from 1 species